UGUCGAAUCAUUGAAGGUCUCAGAAAUUUGUAGAAUAAGAAAAAUAGAUACAAUCAAGCGAUGAGUUCCAAAAAAAAUUACAAAGAAAAUCGUAUUUAUAGUAUUGAUUUUGAUCAGAAUAGCGAUUCUGUCUUUAUUUUCGCUUUUUACGUUUCAUGAGAUGACGGUUGUUUGGGCUCACGAAUCAUACCGGGACUUUCUCUAAUUAGUUCACCGGUAUCCUCGUCGACCAAAUUCGCUAUAACGGAUGUUUUAUAUCCCAAGUGCUCAUACAUUUUGAAGGCCAUUUUACUAGCCAUAAGGAAGCAUGGAAUUUGAUAUUCAUCGGCCAAGUCAUGAGCCAUGUCCAAAAGAUAGCCACCGACACCAUUCCCUUGAAGAGCAGGAUCAACACAAACAAAAUGGAUGUGGAUAAAUCCUUUAGGAUUCUUCAGCAAUCCAGUUUUAUAAAGAGCAGCUCCGUAUUGCAAUUCAUUAUAGUGGAAUCGUUUUUGUACAAUUUGCGCACCAUACCACCAAUACAAAAAAUUGCUGUAGUACUUGUUUAAGCUUUUCAAAAUCCAGUCUCUAUAAGAGACGUUAGGGUCAGGCGGGAAUUUUUUAAAGGCCAAAAAUCCAACGUACGGGUUGGAAUCGGUAUACGCGACUAUGCAAGUUACAUGUGGAUCAAAAUACGCAUCUCGAGUCAGCUGCAUGGUUAAUGCUUUCAUCGUUUCAGAAGACAUUCCUUUGAACCUCCAUUUCCAAGUCGCACUGUCGCUAAACGCCAACAAACUAACUUCCGUUACCCUUUCGAUGUCAUUGAAUUGCAAGG